rnacentral:pre_miRNA from 1 species
UAAGUACUUCCUCCGUUCCAAAAUUAUUGUCUUAUAUUUGUCUAUGUAUGAAUGUAUCUAGUCACGUUUUAGUAUUUAGAUACACUCAUUUCUAAGUAAACCUAAGACAAAAUUUUUGGGACGGAGGGAGUAUUAA